AGUGUUCACAAUGAGGAUACGAAGCGGAAGCUCCCUCUUCUGAUAUUGAGUUAAGGAAAAUUGCUGUCAGAAUUAAACCUAAAUAAAUCUAGGCAUUAAUGAGUGA
rnacentral:snoRNA from 1 species